rnacentral:tRNA from 1 species
GGGCUUGUGGUCUAGUGGCUAUGACAUCUCCUUUACACGGAGAGGAUCGGAGGUUCGAGUCCUCCCUGGCCCA